rnacentral:rRNA from 1 species
AGCGCAGGCGGGAAGACAAGUUGGAAGUGAAAUCUAUGGGCUCAACCCAUAAACUGCUUUCAAAGCUGUUUUUCUUGAGUAGUGCAGAGGUAGGCGGAAUUCCCGGUGUAGCGGUGGAAUGCGUAGAUAUCGGGAGGAACACCAGUGGCGAAGGCGGCCUACUGGGCACCAACUGACGCUGAGGCUUGAAGGUGUGGGUAGCAAACA